rnacentral:tRNA from 1 species
GGGUAUGUAGCUCAAUUGGUAGAGCAGGCGACUCUUAAUCGUCAGGUUUGGGGUUCGAUUCCCCACAUGCCCACCA